rnacentral:rRNA from 1 species
GCCAGACUCCUACGGGAGGCAGCAGUGGGGAAUAUUGCACAAUGGGGGAAACCCUGAUGCAGCAACGCCGCGUGAGUGAAGAAGUAUUUCGGUAUGUAAAGCUCUAUCAGCAGGGAAGAAGAAAGACGGUACCUGACUAAGAAGCCCCGGCUAACUACGUGCCAGCAGCCGCGGUAAUACGUAGGGGACGAGCGUUAUCCGGAUUCACUGGGUGUAAAGGGAGCGUAGACGGCCAUGCAAGCCAGGGGUGAAAGCCCGGGGCCCAACCCCGGGACUGCCCUUGGAACUGCAUGGCUGGAGUGCGGGAGGGGCAGGCGGAAUUCCUGGUGUAGCGGUGAAAUGCGUAGAUAUCAGGAGGAACACCGGCGGCGAAGGCGGCCUGCUGGACCGUGACUGACGUUGAGGCUCGAGAGCGUGGGGAGCAAACAGGAUUAGAUACCCCCGUAUGA